UUAUAUACGGAUGUUUUAUACGGAUGGCCUUAUAUACGGAAUUUCCGUAUGUAAAGGGGGUAAAGGAUUAUAUACGGAUUAUCCCUCUGUAAGAUCGGUAUGUAAUAUUGGCGCGUUUAGGCGGGAAGUUUGCCAAGGAUAUAUCCGUAUAUAAGACCGUAUGUAACUGGAACACUUAUUUAUCCGCUUAUUUUAAAUACGGAUAUGAUAAUAGUUAAUUAAAAAAAAAAAGUAAUAUAGAAUCUGAUUGUGGAAAUGUUCUGGCACUAUUCUCCUUCGAGCCAGCCCCCAUUCUCGAGCCCAGUUUCCCCCCUCUGUCGAGCCCUAGUUUCUGACUGCAACCAUCCAUCACCGUCAUUCUCCCUCUCUACAUCCAUGUUUCUCCCUCUGUGAUUCGCACUCAUUCUCGUCAACUCGUCAAUCUCCGUCAUCGAGCCUUCUUCUCCCUUGGCUUCUCCAUCAUGUAGCCAUUCUGUGUUAGUGGAACUGUAUUUGUGUUAAGCCGGUGGACAAUCGUCAUUUGAACCCUAGUGUUGUUUUCCGUCAUUCGAACCCUAGUUCUGCUCCUACUGGAACCUUCAUUUUGUGGUAGUGGAACCCUCGCAGUCGUAAUGUGGUUGUUUUGGCGAUCUGUCAGUGUUCGUUAUUCUGGAGUUCUAGAAUUGGUAAGUAAUUUUUGUUAAUUGUUAAAUAUGCUAAUUUGUGAAAUCGAAUAACCCUAAUUUAAUUUAUUUUUUUUUUUUGGCACGAAAUGAUGUGUGGUUUGGAUUAUGAAACCCUUGGGUGCAUUGUGUAGUGAAGAUUGAGAGGGCUUUAAAGGUAUGUUUCCUUUUAUGUGUUUUUUGUUUCAAUAUAGAAGAAGAUGGUUACUAGUAAGGAGAGUAGCUAGGAUAUCAUAGGCGUAUAAGGUUUUCAGGUAUGAAUAAUUAUUUAGGAUGUUCUGUUUUUUUGUCUUUUGAAGAGAAUAUAUAUCUGCGUAUAUGUUUUAUUGUUGACAACCUUGUUUCCUACGACUUUCGUCAGAAUUGUGAGGAGCCUUACACCUUCAUGGUGCCUAGGGAGUGGCACGAUUGUGCUCUACGUAGAUCAGAGUGUGUGAAGAGUGAGCUUGAGUGUGAGAGGGUUGUACUUGAAGGAGUAAUGUGUAGUUACUAGAGUAGAAAAAGUAGUAGAGACAAAGUUAUUAGUGAUUUAGUUUGAUAGAAAAAUCAUGCAUAGAGGAAAUUGAAAGAAAAUAAAAGUGGCUAACUAGAGCUAAGGAAAGUGGGGUAAUAAGUUUAGAACAAUGUUGUGAGAAGUAUGGAGUUUUGUGUGACAUAUAGAGUGAUGUUGAAGUAAAGGGUGAGUUAGGUUAGGUUUGGAAUAGUCUUGAUUGACAGUUAAGAUGAUCUUAUCUCUUUUUUCUCUCAUUUCUCUCUUUCUGCAGAAGCGAAGAAGACGACAACCAGGGAGAGCGGUGGUUGAAAUAAUAUCCUGGGAGCCCAGAGCUUUUCUCUAUCAUAAUUUUGUGGUUAGUGUUUAUGUAAAUGCUAUUAGCAUUUGUCAUUAAGAUGUGACAUUUUGCAUGCUUCUAUUAUGUUUAUGGUUGUCAAUGUGUCCUCUUGUGAGUAAGAACCUGGUUUUUUAUUUAUUUAUUUUUUCAUUUUCUUUCCCCUCUUUUAAAGCCAAGUUUUGUUGUGGAGAUGUAGAGGUGUCUGUGUUGAAGUUAUUUGAAUGCUAUAUAGAGCUUUUGAUUAGAUUUGCCUUUAGGAAAUACUGGAAAAUCAGACUACCUAGGCUCACUUUAAAAUUUUCUUUUGUUAGUGAUGUUGUGCUUGUAAUUGGGUUUGUGCGUGUUAGACUUCCUAAACUUGGCUUCAUUAAUUGAUCGGUAGAAAAUGGUGAGGUGGGGAGUGAGAAAGGGAGUUUUAAUGGACUGACAUGGUAGAUUGAAUGGAAUGAAAGGUUUUGGCUUUUACUCAAUUAUGCUUAACAGGGGAGUUUGGUAGUAGGACAUAAUAAAAUUAUCAGUACAACAUAAUAAAAUUAUUAAUUAUUCAAACAAAGGAGGAAGGUGAACAAACAAAAACAUUCCUUAGGCUCUAUUUUCUUUUCCAAACAAAGUUCAGCUGAAACCAUAGCAAGCCCUAUAUAUCCUUCAGCCUUUCAUACAAUCUCAAACAAAAUACAUACCAUUUUCGUACAUAGCAAUAUCUCUUCUUCAUUAUUGCACUCUUGUCAACUAUGGCCUCCAACAAAUCAUUCAUCACUGCUUUUCUUCUUGCUCUCACCUUCUCAAGCAUGAGCAUGAGCCUAGCAGCUCGCCAUCUUAUGUAGACAACUGCACCAACAUUGCCAACAUUGCCACCAUUGCCUUCAAUUCCAGCCCUUCCUUAGGGUAAUGUUCCACCACAGCCCACUAUCCCAUCUAUACCUACCACUUUGCCUCCACUUCCUACCAACAUCCCUAACAUUCCAACAAUUCCACCGCUCAACGUUCCUCCAUUGCCUUCAAUCCCAACAUUCACAAUUCCAACUACUAUGCCCUCCAUCCCAUUCCUCUCCCCACCACCUUCCACCUCCACCCCUGAAACUACCUUUCUUUUCUUCUUCCUGGCCAAGCUACCUUCUCAGUCUGAUUCGUAGUAGUGCCAAGUUGCAUGCUUCCUAUAGAUAUGGCCUGAUUCCUUUUGUCUGAGAGCCUUCUGUGGUGUUUUCCUUUUACUUUUGUCGUAUGGUGUGAAAAACUGUAUUUCUUUUCACUUUACGUGAGUUAUCGCUAUUGUUUCUACUUUUUCU
rnacentral:lncRNA from 1 species